rnacentral:tRNA from 1 species
CAGAUAUUAGUUUAAUAGUAAAAUUUUAAUUUUGGAGAUUAAUGAUAAUUUUUUUUUUAUAUCUGA